rnacentral:rRNA from 1 species
UACAGAGGGGGCAAGCGUUGUUCGGAAUUACUGGGCGUAAAGCGUGCGCAGGCGGUUCUAUAAGACAGAUGUGAAAUCCCCGGGCUCAACCUGGGAACUGCAUUUGUGACUGUAGAGCUGGAGUACGGCAGAGGGGGAUGGAAUUCCGCGUGUAGCAGUGAAAUGCGUAGAUAUGCGGAGGAACACCGAUGGCGAAGGCAAUCCCCUGGGCCUGUACUGACGCUCAUGCACGAAAGCGUGGGGAGCAAACAGG